GACGAACGCUGGCGGCGUGCCUAAUACAUGCAAGUCGAACGCAGUGGGGACGGGUGAGUAACACGUGGGUAACCUCCCAUCAGAGGGGAUAACACUUGGAAACAGGUGCUAAACCGAUACUGAUGGAUGGACCCGCGGUUCAUUAGCUAGUUGGUGAGGUAACGGCUCGCCAAGGCCACGAUGCAUAGCUGACCAAAGGGUGUGAUCGGCCACACUGGAACUGCGACACGGCACAGACUCCAACGGAAGGCAGCAUUAGGAAAUGUUCGGCAAUGGACGAAAGUCUAACAGAGCAAAGCCGCGUGAGUGAAGAAGGUAUGCAGAUCGUAAAACGCUGUUGUUAGAGAAGGGGUAACUACCCAGAAAGCCACGGCUAACUACUUGCCAGCAGCCGCGGUAAUAC
rnacentral:rRNA from 1 species